UGGGGUGUAGCCAAGUGGUAAGGUAGCGGUUUUUGGUACCGCCAGCGAAGGUUCGAAUCCUUCCACCCCAG
rnacentral:tRNA from 1 species